rnacentral:rRNA from 1 species
GACGAACCGUGCGAACGUUGUUCGGAAUCACUGGGCUUAAAGGGCGCGUAGGCGGGCCUCCAAGUCCGGGGGUGAAAUCCUCCCGCCCAACGGGAGAAGAGCCUCGGAGACUGGGGGCCUCGAGGGAGGUAGGGGCGUGCGGAACUAUGGGGUGGAGCGGUGAAAUGCAUUGAUAUCCAUAGGAACUCCGGUGGCGAAGGCGGCACGCUGGACCUCUUCUGACGCUGAGGCGCGAAAGCCAGGGGAGCAAACGGG